rnacentral:rRNA from 1 species
GAUGAACGCUGGCGGCGUGCCUAAUACAUGCAAGUCGAGCGAACGGACGAGAAGCUUGCUUCUCUGAUGUUAGCGGCGGACGGGUGAGUAACACGUGGAUAACCUACCUAUAAGACUGGGAUAACUUCGGGAAACCGGAGCUAAUACCGGAUAAUAUUUUGAACCGCAUGGUUCAAAAGUGAAAGACGGUCUUGCUGUCACUUAUAGAUGGAUCCGCGCUGCAUUAGCUAGUUGGUAAGGUAACGGCUUACCAAGGCAACGAUGCAUAGCCGACCUGAGAGGGUGAUCGGCCACACUGGAACUGAGACACGGUCCAGACUCCUACGGGAGGCAGCAGUAGGGAAUCUUCCGCAAUGGGCGAAAGCCUGACGGAGCAACGCCGCGUGAGUGAUGAAGGUCUUCGGUUCGUAAAACUCUGUUAUUGGGGAAGAACAUAUGUGUAAGUAACUGUGCACAUCUUAACGGUACCUAAUCAGAAAGCCCCGGCUAACUACGG